ensembl:lncRNA
AAUUGUGAUGCUUGGCGCCGAAAGCUUGUUGCUCAGACCACUGCACUUUGGAAUUUCAGAAUGCUCUAGCAAGCCACGAAUAAGAACACCGAUACCCCUCGCGCCUCGUUUUAAAUGAUUUUGUUUGAACUCUUCCCAAACCAUAGAACAAACCUUGACCACUCAGAAUGAAUGCCUAGACUAUUAACCUCGAGUCGUUUCUGUUUUAACCCUGUAAGUUUCAAGUUUUAAUGUCAUGUGCACAAGGACAGUAAGGCCUUUCUUACUAGCUCUAAACCCAACAAUGCAGUGAUGAAUGUCAUUCCAGAAAACACAUGACAAAUAACAAAAACACAUGACAAAUAAAAAUAACAAAAACAAAGGACAAAUAAAAAUAACAAAAACACAUGACAAAUAAAAAUAACAAAAACACAUGACAAAUAAAAAUAACAAAAACACAUGACAAAUAAAAAUAACAAAAACACAUGACAAAUAAAAAUAACAAAAACACAUGACAAAUAAAAAUAACAAAAACACAUGACAAAUAAAAAUAACAAAAACAAAGGACAUAAAAAUAACAAAAACACAUGACAAAUAAAAAAAUAACAAAAACACAUGACAAAUAAAAAUAACAAAAACACUUGAGAAAUAAAAAUGACAAAAACACAUGAAAAAAAUAAAAAUAACAAAAACACAUGAAAAAAAUAAAAAUAACAAAAACAAAGAACAAAUAAAAAUAACAAAAACACAUGAAAAAAAUAAAAAAUAACAAAAACAAAGGACAAAUAAAAAUAACAAAAACACAUGACAAAUAAAAAUAACAAAAACACUUGACAAAUAAAAAUAACAAAAACACAUGAAAAAAAUGAAAAUAACAAAAACAAAGGACAAAUAAAAAUAACAAAAACACAUGACAAAUAAAAAUAACAAAAACACAUGAAAAAAAUGAAAAUAACAAAAACAAAGGACAAAUAAAAAUAACAAAAACACAUGACAAAUAAAAAUAACAAAAACACAUGACAAAUAAAAAUACAGGAGUGAUGGAGGUAGAUAUGUAUAGGGGUAAGGGGACAGGGAUACUAGAGUGAUGGAGGUAGAUAUGUAGAGGGGUAAAGUGACUAUAUACAGGGUCAGUACCAUAUUAACAAUGUUCAGGGACACUGGAGUGAUGGAGGCAGAUACAGUGGGGC